rnacentral:lncRNA from 1 species
UUCUAAGUCCCAAUCUCAUGAUACUCUAACUCAUUAACUCAAACACUCAGCCCUCUCUCAAGGCAAAACCUUAGAAAUCAACCCUGUACUUAAUCGAUCAAGCAAAGCAAAAACUUUUUGCCGUGGUUCAAGUAUGUUGUUGCUACAUCGGAGUUCUUGCCCAAGAAUGAUCAAGAUUUCUCUUCGGUGUCUAAAGACUCCAACGGUGGUGAGAUUCGAAGAUAACAUGUUGGAUUAGCUAUGAAUGUCAAGCGGUGAGGCAGUGAUGGCUAUCACAAUGGCUAGGGUUUCACUUUUCAUUCAUUUAAUUGCAAAUUUUGCCUUUAGCCUCUUCUUAUUAAGCCAUCGCUCUCUCCUAGUUUCGUCAAAUUCAUUUUGCCUCCAAAUACUCUAUGCCUCUUUCACUUAUUUCAAAUUGCCCCAAUUAAACUCUAAUUAACCAUAGUCUCUUCAAAGCCCAUCUCUCUCUUCGUUUUUUUAUGAAUCAGUGAGCCUCUUGGAGGCUAUAAUGACCACAUUAAUCUGAAAAGCAUGCAAUAAAUAAGACAACGAGUGGAACUACAUUGGAGGCUAAUACUAAGAAUGUUUUGAGACAAAUUGCUCCAGUCCUAGACCCAAGUAAAUACAAGGAUUGGCCUGGUGAGCCCUUAAAAACUCUCUUCUUUGUUAGUUUAUUAUUAUUUUUCUUUUUUAUUCUUGUUUAAGUGCCUUUGUUUUUUAACUUUAUCUGGGAAAAUUGAUGUUUGGGGAGUGUUGUGAGUACACUAAUGCACUUUAGUUUGUUGCUAUUUAAUUUAGCUUUUCAAAAUUAUUAUUGCUCUGCUCACUUUUGUUUUGUUGUUUUAAUCCUUUAAAGCUAGCUAGUUUUAAGCAAGUGCAAUUAUGUUAUUUAUUAAAAGGACUUUUGCUUCAAAGCCCAAGCUUAACAUAGCAAAAGUUUGUUCUCUUAGUAGUAUAAUGAACAGGCUUUUUUUUUCUUUUGAUAAGGUAUAAUGAAUAGACUUGUUAUAAUUAGCAAAGGGCCAAUUUUCCCUAAUAGAAAUAGAAAUGUUGAAAGUUGUUGAUGCGAUUUCAAUAUUUUUCCUUCUUUAAGUUUUGUGCUCAAGCAAAAUGAAUAAAGUAGAAUUUUAAUAAGCAUUUUAUCUUUAUUUAUCUAUUUAUUUAUUAUUAUUUUUUGUUAUAAUAAAUAACAAACAGGACAAGGUUCUUUGAGGAUUUUUUAUAGAUUAAAAAGAUGUGAUCUAAAAGCCUGAUUUUUCACGUAAUGCUAUCAAGACUUUAAUUGGAGACGUUGUCAUGGUGAGUUUGAUGCACCUUUUUUAGUAUAGGAAUGCAUGCUAAUUAUCUAAUGAUGAGACAUGGUUCAUUAAACCUUGUGAUAUUGCAGGACUACCAUUGUGAAUGUUGAAACAUAGUUAAUGAUGAGACAUAGUUAUCAACUCUUGAUCUAAAUCAUUUAUCCUAAAGGAUAAUCCAAAUGAUUGGCCUCUUGUCGUAGAAGCAACAGGUCAAGCAUUGAAAUCUAAGGGGGUAAAUUCAAUUCGGGAAGGGUUGGGUUGGGAUGAGGUGCUUGAGGUGUAUGUGUAUAACCUCUUUAUCUAUUUCUUUUGAUGUGUAUUUGAGUCAGCAUAAAACUUCUUUUCUGAGUUUGACAGUGAUGAUUCUCUUGAUUCUUGUAAUUUUAAUUUGUAUUGUUGCUUGGAUCAUUAUUUUAUAUCUGGUUAACAAUCUUUUGUCUAAUGGCAGGUGAAGUGCAGUGUGAGUAACCAAACAAUUCUUUAUACACUUUCCACCGGCAAUCUUAUAAUAUGAAAGCAAACAUUCCGCCUUAAUCCAAACUAAAUUUUACUGAGAGUAUGUUGUGAAUUUUCUUUUAUCAUCUAUGGCUGUCUUAUUUAGUUAUUUCUUUAGCAUAAUAAGUGUUAUACAAUUUUGAGUUUAUUAGGGGAAACUAUUUGUUGGGAAUUCAUGGGAUUGGGUUUUUGAAAGUACUUAUUUUUGGCUAUGAAUGAAUUGAUCAACAAACACAAAUGUCUCAGAUCUUUUGAAGUAUCUUUAUUGAUUGGGGUUCUGAUUACUAAUUUGUUACAUGUUCUUCUUUGAACAGCUUGGAGUUUUCUCAUCUCAAGUUUUCCAAGAAUCUCCGCGAGAGAAAAUACGGAGAAGAAAAAACUGUAAUACUACCUCCUUUUUGGAUUUCAAGUUUGAAAUAAUGCUACUUUAUAAUUAAAAUUGAUAUUUAAUCUCUGUAGCACUAAUUCAUGAGAUGAAGAAACAUUGCAACAUAGGAAUUGCAGCCCAAAUUUCCCAUUUCUCAACGAAUCCAGCAUGGUAACAAUUUUCUCAGCAGAAGAAUUAAUUCCUCCUUUUUUCUUUACUGUUUUAUUCAAAGCAAAGCUUCCUCUUUAUUUUCAUACUUGUAGGAAAGUUAACUGGAUUUUAUGGGUACACUUUAAGUUCCAUAUUUUAUUGCAAUAAGGAAUUAAUUUAAGUUACACCUGAAACUUGGAGUUUUACUUUAAUAGAUAACUCUUUAUAAUGAUAGUGUUGGCUAUAUUCAUUUGUGCUGUACAUGCAGAUUGAGUUUGAAUUUGUAAUGAUUCUGUUGCAUCCAAAAUUUAAAGAGUUUUACUAUAGUAGUUAAUGCUUUAUAAUGAUAGUGGGCCUAUUCAAUUGGUUUUGCAUAUGCAGGUUGAAAGCAACUGUUGCACUUGGGAGUUUUGAUGGGUAUUUGUUGGCAACGGGAAUCUACUGAAAUUUUACUGAGAAUAUGGGAGGAGUCUACACUACAAGAUUUGAUGGCUUCUUAGCUUGUAAAAUUUGAAACAUUUGCUUUUAGUUGCUUGAAUUUGUCUUUUGAAUUACCUUGGUUGGGUAUUAACUGUUGGGUGAUGUGAUUGUUGGAAUUAUUGUUGGAUGUUAUUGUUGGACGAAGUUAUUAAUAUAAAGUGUUUUGGACUUAAUAGAAUUUGUAAUUUGAUUUUUUGUUUAUAUUGAAUUUGCG